AUAUACAAAUAGCCAAUAAACACACAAAAAAAUGUUCUACAUUGGCUGAAUCUGCCCACAUGUCACCACUAUCACCACCACCCCCAUCCUGGCUCCCCCAGGUUCCCUCAGCCCAGCCUAGUUCAGCCUGGUUACCGGGAGGAUGAAGUUCGUGUACAAAGAAGAGCAUCCGUUCAAGAAACACGCUGCUCCCAGAGCAAGAAGAUUGGAACGAAAUACCCAGACUGGGUGCCAGUGAUAGUAGAAAAAGCUCCCAAAGCUUGGAUAGGAGACCUGGACAAAAAGAAAUACCUGGUGCUUUCUGAUCUCACAGUUGGUCAGUUCUACUUUUUGAUCCGGAAGCGAAUUCAUCUCCGAGCUGAGGAUGCCUUGCUUUUCUCUGUCAACAAUGUCAUUCUGCCCACCAGUGCCACAAUGGGUCAGCUCUACCAGGAACACCAUGAAGACUUCUUUCUCUACGUUGCCUACAGUGAUGAAAGUGUCUACGGUCUGUGAUGCUGCUGCCCCGGAGCUGAAGGCGGGGGUCUCAUUCUGCAAAGAGAGGUGGCCUCCCUUUCUUGACCUCCUCCUCCAAGCUCAAACACCACCUCCCUCAUUCAGGACCGGCACUUCUUAAUGUUUGAGGCUUUCUCUCCAGCCUCUCUUAGGAUGGGUAAUGGUGGAGUUGGCAUCUCGUACCUCUCCUUUCUCCUUUCUUCCCCUUUCUCUGCCUGCCUUUCCCACUCUG